GACGAACGCUGGCGGCGUGCCUAAUACAUGCAAGUCGACCUUAGUGGCGAACGGGGGAGUAAAACCUGGCUAACCUGCCCAUCAAAAGGGGGGAACACUUGGAAAAAGGUGCUAAUACCGUAUACUGAUUGAUCGACCCGCGGUGCAUUAGCUAGUGGGUGGGGUAACGGCUCACCAAGGCCACGAUGCAUAGCCGGCCUGAGAGGGUGAUCGGCCACAUUGGGACUGAGACACGGCCCAAACUCCUACGGGAGGCAGCAGUAGGGAAUCUUGCGCAAUGGACGAAAGUCUGACCGAGCAACGCCACGUGAGUGAAGAAGGUUUUCGGAUCGUAAAACUCUGUUGUUGGGGAGGCGGUAUCUAAACAGAAAGCCCCGGCUAACUACGUGCCAGCAGCCGCGGUAAUAC
rnacentral:rRNA from 1 species